rnacentral:rRNA from 1 species
AGAGUUUGAUCAUGGCUCAGAACGAACGUUGGCGGCGUGGAUUAGGCAUGCAAGUCGAACGAAUCCCACUGCUGUAGCAAUACAGUGGUGGGGGAAGUGGCGAAAGGGGCAGUAAGGCGUGGGUAACCUACCCCGGGGACGUGGAUAGCCAUUCUAACGAGUGGGUAAUACGCGGCGAUUCGGCGGGGCGGCAUCGUCUUGCCGGGAAAUGAAUUUCGCCUCGGGAGGGGCUCACGUGAUAUUAGCUUGUUGGCGGGGUAACGGCCCACCAAGGCAAAGAUGUCUAGCGGGUGUGAGAGCACGACCCGCGCCACUGGCACUGAGACACUGGCCAGACACCUACGGGUGGCUGCAGUCGAGGAUCUUUGGCAAUGGGCGCAAGCCUGACCAAGCGACGCCGCGUGUGCGAUGAAGGCCUUCGGGUUGUAAAGCACUGUCGAGGGGGAUAAAGCCAGCAAUGGUUGAUUGAUCCCUGGAGGAAGCACGGGCUAAGUUCGUGCCAGCAGCCGCGGUAAGACGAACCGUGCGAACGUUGUUCGGAAUCACUGGGCUUAAAGGGCGCGUAGGCGGCAGAUCAAGUCCGGGGUGAAAUCCUCCAGCUUAACUGGAGAAGUGCCUUGGAUACUGAUUUGCUCGAGGGAGGUAGGGGUCGAGGGAACUUCUGGUGGAGCGGUGAAAUGCGUUGAUAUCAGAAGGAACGCCGGUGCGAAAGCGCUCGACUGGAUCUCUUCUGNNGCUGAGGCGCGAAAGCUAGGGGAGCAAACGGGAUUAGAUACCCUCGUAGUCC